rnacentral:rRNA from 1 species
AUGGCCACCUGCACCAGAGCACCGCCCGCCGCCGCCGCCGCCGCGGCGGCGGUGACCACCGAUCCAGGGAAGGAGAGGGGCGCGUUCCUGCCGGAGCUGGAGAAGGGGAAGGAUGCUGCCAUCCUCCCGCCCGCUAUUGCUCCUGCUGUCCUCGCCAAGCCAGGGAAGGAGAGUGGCGCGUUCCUGCCGGAGCUGGAGAAGGGGAAGGAUGAUGCCAUCCUUCCGGCCGCCGUUGCUCCUGCUUUCCUCGCCAAGACUGCAGGGAAGGAGAUGGACUCGUGCUUGCCGCCCCCGGAAAAGGACAAGCCACUCGCCCGCCCUGCGCCCAACACCGCUACUGAGAACCUCGUCAAUCCAGGGAAGAAGAUGCGCCGCCCUGUGCCGAUGACGGAUGAGGAGAGGAACAAGAUCAAGGAGUUGAAGGAGCAGCACCGGUCAGGGCUCGAUGAGUUAGAAGAUCUUUUCCAGAUACACAGGGAGCUGCGCGACGAACUUCUUUUCAGGCGGAGGUGUCUGGCCGCACGUCUAGUCAGCCGAAUCGUCUUCCAGCGCCGUGAUGCUGCCUAUGUCAAGCGCCAUCUUGACAUGGGCUUGAAGGUGGGGGAUAAGUUGCCGGAGGAGCUCAAGCAGGCUAGGCCACCAAUCUCGAUGGCCCUUUUCUUGUGGCAUGAAAUGGGCAGGGCCUUGCACAUAGGCAUGGAUAACUUCCUUGAUGAGUACAGCAACACCGAGGAGUGCCAGAGAAGUAUGCUAGCGUUGGUGCCCGGGGCUGUUUGUGAUGAGAAUGGAGCCCCGCGUGAUUCUGUUGCCUCCCAAGAGUAG